GAGCUGGCCAGGCGACCGCGUGGUCCUCUUCGGAGGAUCCCGAGGAACGUCCGGGCUCCGCAGGGCAGGGUGAUGGCUAACGGCCACCCGGGGUGACCCGCGGGACAGUGCCACAGAGAGCAGACCGCCUCGCCUCCUCGGAGGCGCGGUAAGGGUGAAAGGGUGAGGUAAGAGCUCACCGCGCGACCGGCGACGGAAGCGGCACGGUAAACCCCACCUGGAGCAAGGCCAGACAGAGAGCGUUCGAGGGCUGCCCGCCCGAGCUCUCGGGUAGGUCGCUGGAGCCCUGGAGCAAUUUAGGGCCUAGAUGGAUGGUCGCCCCUCGUGAGCGGUGACGCGAGCGAGCGACAGAACCCGGCGUAUCGGCCAGCUCAU
rnacentral:RNase_P_RNA from 1 species